UACGUAGGGUGCAAGCGUUAAUCGGAAUUACUGGGCGUAAAGCGUGCGCAGGCGGUGAUGUAAGACAGUUGUGAAAUCCCCGGGCUCCAACCUGGGAACUGCAUCUGUGACUGCAUCGCUGGAGUGCGGCAGAGGGGGAUGGAAUUCCGCGUGUAGCAGUGAAAUGCGUAGAUAUGCGGAGGAACACCGAUGGCGGAAGGCAAUCCCCUGGGCCUGCACUGACGCUCAUGCACGAAAGCGUGGGGAGCAAACAGG
rnacentral:rRNA from 1 species